AGCUGCUGUGACAAAGGUGGCCAUUUCUCUUCCUUAGCUGGCUGGGAGCUGCUGCUGUGUUCUAUCUGCACAGCACUCUCUGGUGGGCAAAAGACAGAACUGUGGAAGUUAUUUUCUGCUGGA